rnacentral:rRNA from 1 species
UUAGACGGCCAUAGCAACCAGGAAACACCCGAUCCCAUUCCGAACUCGGAAGUUAAGCUGGUUGCGUCUGUCGUGCUAGUUUCCGAGAGGAAGCGAAGCGCAGAUGCCGUCCCCU